rnacentral:rRNA from 1 species
CCUACGGGAGGCAGCAGUGGGGAAUAUUGCACAAUGGGGGAAACCCUGAUGCAGCGACGCCGCGUGAGUGAGGAAGUUUUUCGGUUUGUAAAGCUCUUUCAGCAGGGAAGAAUAUGACGGUACCUGACUAAGAAGCCCCGGCUAACUACGUGCCAGCAGCCGCGGUAAUACGUAGGGUGCAAGCGUUAUCCGGAUUUACUGGGUGUAAAGGGUGCGUAGACGGUGAAUUAAGUCAGAAGUGAAAACCUAGAGCUAAACCUUAGAACUGAAUUUGAAACUGAUAAGCUGGAGUGUAGGAGAGGUAAGCGGAAUUCUUGGUGUAGCGGUAAAAUGCGUAGAUAUUAGGAGGAAUACCAGUGGCGAAGGCGGCCUGCUGGAACAUAACUGACGUUGAGGCUCGAAAGCGUGGGGAGCAAACAGGAUUAGAUACCCCAGUAGUC